GACGAACGCUGGCGGCGUGCUUAACACAUGCAAGUCGAACGGAAAGGCCCUGCUUUUGUGGGGUGCUCGAGUGGCGAACGGGUGAGUAACACGUGAGUAACCUGCCCUUGACUUUGGGAUAACUUCAGGAAACUGGGGCUAAUACCGGAUAGGAGCUCCUGCUGCAUGGUGGGGGUUGGAAAGUUUCGGCGGUUGGGGCUGGACUCGCGGCUUAUCAGCUUGUUGGUGGGGUAGUGGCUUACCAAGGCUUUGACGGGUAGCCGGCCUGAGAGGGUGACCGGCCACAUUGGGACUGAGAUACGGCCCAGACUCCUACGGGAGGCAGCAGUGGGGAAUAGUGCACAAUGGGCGGAAGCCUGAUGCAGCAACGCCGCGUGCGGGAUGACGGCCUUCGGGUUGUAAACCGCCUUCGCCUGUGACGAAGCGUGAGUGACGGUAAUGGGUAAAGAAGCACCGGCUAACUACGUG
rnacentral:rRNA from 1 species